rnacentral:rRNA from 1 species
UACAGAGGGUGCGAGCGUUGUUCGGAAUUACUGGGCGUAAAGCGCGCGCAGGCGGCCCUUUAAGUCUACCCGUGAAAUGCCGGAGCUCAACUCCGUGCACGCCGGGGGAUACUGGAGGGCUGGAGACAGGUAGAGGCAGGCGGAAUUCCGGGUGUAGCGGUGGAAUGCGUAGAGAUCCGGAAGAACACCAGAGGCGAAGGCGGCCUGCUGGGCCUUGUCUGACGCUGAGGCGCGAAAGCGUGGGGAGUAAACAGG